rnacentral:rRNA from 1 species
GAAUGGGCAUCCUUCUAGCACUAACGCACCGGAUCCCAUCAGAACUCCGAAGUUAAGCGUGCUUGGGCGAGAGUAGUACUAGGAUGGGUGACCCCCUGGGAAGUCCUCGUGUUGCAUCCC